AUUAGAUAAAAAGCCAAUGCCCUUCGGGGCUUUCUGGUGAUUCAUAAUAACUAAACGAAUCGCAUGGCCUUGCGCCGGCGAUGGUUCAUUCAAAUUUCUGCCCUAUCAACUUUCGAUUGUAGGAUAGAGGCCUACAAUGGUUUCAACGGGUAACGGAGAAUUAGGGUUCGGUUCCGGAGAGGGAGCCUGAGAAACGGCUACCACAUCCAAGGAAGGCAGCAGGCGCGCAAAUUACCCAAUCCCGACACGGGGAGGUAGUGACAAUAAAUACUGAUACAGGGCUCUUUUGGGUCUUGUAAUUGGAAUGAGUACAAUUUAAAUCCCUUAACGAGGAACAAUUGGAGGGCAAGUCUGGUGCCGGCAGCCGCGGUAAUUCCAGCUCCAAUAGCGUAUAUUAAAGUUGUUGCAGUUAAAAAGCUCGUAGUUGAACCUUGGGUCUGGCUGGCCGGUCCGCCUCACCGCGUGCACUGGUCCGGCCGGACCUUUCCUCUUGGGGAUCCGCAUGCCCUUUGCUGGG
rnacentral:rRNA from 1 species